UGUGUGUAAUGAUGAUUUUCAAUACGGAACCUGAUGACACUGUGUGGAUAAACCUUGGAGAACUGAACACACA
ensembl:snoRNA SNORD39 Small nucleolar RNA SNORD55/SNORD39